rnacentral:rRNA from 1 species
CACUCAUUCAAAGAGUGCGUAAUAGCUCACUGGUCGAGUGAUCCUGCGCCGACGAUUUCCGGGGCUAAAACUUACUACCGAAGCUACGGCAUCAGUAAUGAUGGGUAGGGGAGCUUCCCAUACGGGUGGAAGCAUGACCGUAAGGACAUGUGGACAGUAUGGGAGGGAGAAUGUUGGCAUGAGUAGCGAGAUGUGGGUGGGAAUCCCACAGGCCGUAAACCCAAGGUUUCCAGGGGAAGGUUCGUCCGCCCUGGGUUAGUCGGGACCUAAGCUGAGGCCGAAAGGCGUAGGUG